GAUGAACGCUAGCGACAGGCUUAACACAUGCAAGUCGAGGGGCAGCAUGAUUUGUAGCAAUACAGAUUGAUGGCGACCGGCGCACGGGUGAGUAACGCGUAUCCAACCUGCCCAUCACUUGGGGAUAACCUUGCGAAAGUAAGACUAAUACCCAAUGACGUCUCUAGAAGACAUCUGAAGGAGAUUAAAGAUUUAUCGGUGAUGGAUGGGGAUGCGUCUGAUUAGCUUGUUGGCGGGGUAACGGCCCACCAAGGCGACGAUCAGUAGGGGUUCUGAGAGGAAGGUCCCCCCACAUUGGAACUGAGACACGGUCCAAACUCCUACGGGAGGCAGCAGUGAGGAAUAUUGGUCAAUGGGCGAGAGCCUGAACCAGCCAAGUAGCGUGAGGGAUGAAGGCUCUACGGAUUGUAAACUUCUUUUAUACGGGAAUAAAGUUUCCUACGUGUAGGAUUUUGUAUGUACCGUAUGAAUAAGCAUCGGCUAACUCCGUGCCAG
rnacentral:rRNA from 1 species